rnacentral:tRNA from 1 species
UGGGGCAUAGCCAAGCGGUAAGGCAACGGACUUUGACUCCGUCAUUCAUGGGUUCAAAUCCCAUUGCUCCAA